GCUUUUCUCAUGUAAGUGUCAGGGUCUGCCAAAUAUAAGCAAAGUAAAACAGUAUGAAAUUGUGUCGUCCUUCGGCGUUAGUUUGUUUACUUAGUCACAAAAAUUAACAUAGUUUGUGCAUUUAAAAAAAAAAAAAAACACUCAGUGAAGAUCUUUCUCUUUUGAUUAAAAUGUCCUCCCCAAAAACUACAGAGUUUAAGCAAAUCAGCACAGUCCGUAACAAAAGCACAACAGAAACAUAAGAGAUGCGUCUGUGGUAGUACCACGUUGCCACGGUGACAGACAUGGAUUAAACAUAACCAGCCGAUGCUGUCGCACCUGAUUACUAGUUUGCCAAUUUCACAUAUCUCCACAAUGCAAAUCAAAUGCCAGAUACAUGCAAGUGUCUGCUGGUGUUGCAUCACAGCAGUUCAGUCUAUAAGCAUGUGCUCUCUGUAGCUACAUGGCUACAAACUUUCACUGGGAGCAGUGAUGAAAGAGUGCUGAUCCAAAAGAGUAACAUCGGCUCUCAGAGCAGGACAAAAUAACUAGUGAAAGAAAAUAUAUAACACACAAACAACACUGCACUAAAUCAUCAGUGUCAGAGAAAAGCUUCAAUAGCGUCAACGAGAUCUAGAGGCAUUUUCAAAGAUGCCAGUCUGUAUUUGUUAUGUUGUUAACUAUAACUGUUAUGGAACAACAAUAAAGAUAAUUCUGGGGGAGGUGUACAUAUGUCUUUGUUGAAAUAACAAAACAAUGCUGAAGCUGCAGGUUGGCAGGUACAUUAUGUUCGUCACAACUUUGGCCGCUGAAGUAUCAAAAUUAAAGUGACGAAUCGUCGUCAGUUUCACCCAUUCUAUACGUACAAUAUCUGAGUUUCGUCUGCUGCAUUAAGCUGCUUUUGGAAGGCAUUAGGUUUGUCGUUAUGCAAUCCUGUCCUUUCAUUGAUGGUGCUAUAGUGAUAGUUACCAAGGACGCAUCUGAAGCCUGCAGGCUACUUGAGCAGGACUGUUACAUAACGCUGCUUGUUUUUUUAGUGUUCUGUCGCCCUGUUGCCGACUCAACCUGAAUGAGAGUGUGACGUCUGAUGGGAUCUUAUCUUAAGAAGCCCACACAGGUCAUAUACACGUUUUAGCAGUGCUUUCAUUCUACACCAGGUUGACCUCGAGCCUAGUUUCUUAUCCUUUUGCUAAGCUAAGCUGUAGCUUCAUGUUUAAUGAAGUGGUGUCUUAUUAUCAAACCCUCCACCGGAGUUUAAGCAAAUAAUACAUCCAACAAAGAAGUCAAACAAUUCAAAACAACUUAAAUCCACUUCGAUUCUUCACGUCCUGCUUAACGUGCCCAUAGAGAAAAGUUAACACCCUCCAGGGCUGUCAGGCUAUCUUAGCUCCGCUCUAAGAACUGCACAGACUGCGAAGUUAAACUGAGCAUUUGACAGUCCAACGAGCUGGAUCAUGAGAGAGAGAUCUGGACCGAGACAGUCUCAAUAUAGCUUGUGUCUGUAUGCUGGCAGUCAGAGUCACACAAACAGAGAGAGAAGAAGAGGAAGAAGAAGAAGGGGGAGAAAUACUGAGAGCAAGUGAAGACCGAAGAGAUAUUUUCAGUCUCUCAGAGUCUUAAGAGCAGAGUUGUCUUCUUGGGAAGAUUAGCGAUCUUGCAAGGAUGGCCAGGAUGUUGGUCAGCGGCCGGAGGCUGGCCGCUGGUCUGUGGACAUUCCUUUAAAACUGCGGCUGCGGUUUCACACACAGCGGUAAGGAUGCAUUAAAGUGAAAUAUAGGAGUUUGGGGAGCAUAUGAGAGAGCAGUAGCAGGUGCACAUGGCGCUGUAGCAGGAUGCCGGAGGACUGACAGCAGAAUCAAAGCGAGGAUGUUGUCUUGAGGAUGACGUGGAGGGUCGAGAUCAGGGCGAGAGUUUGAUUUGACUUACAGCCACUUCCUUUGGCAUCUUCAGGAUGGAGGGAUGAACAGGCGACUCAUCGCGUGGUCAGCUGACUCACCACACAGGAACGGAUACUGGGAAAGGAAGCACGUGUUGGGUGACGGCGGCAGGGCUCAUGUGUGCAUGUUUGCCUUUGGUGUUUGACAGGGUCACAAUUACUCCAUUUCCUGUCACACCAGAGGAAUGCAGGGUGAGAUUCCUGCUCCCUGAGUCGUGCCCUCUCACCUGCCAUCACCAUACGGAUACUAUUACAUCCUUCAGUUUCCCCCCUCGGCCGGGGAAUUCUUCAAUGUGUGUGUGUGUGUGUGUGUGCGUGCGUGUGUGCAUGCAUGUUGCUUUACUCAUAGAGGAAGUUGGAAAGUUUUUCGUUCUGUUAAUAAUUGGACACUUCAGGUUAUGGCUAGGUUAACAACUUUUACUGUUUUGUCUUAUUGAUUUUGCUCAUAUACAGGAAUGAGGGAUGCCAAGGGGAAAAUACGUCUGUGUGCUGUUUACACAACAUUUUAGCGCUGGUCAUGUACAAGCAUGGAGAAAAUAAAUCCGGGGGAUUAUGUGGGUGAAGUGUGUAAAUGGAGUAAUUGCUUGUUUGCGUUGGCUUCAGUGAGAAUGCUUUGUCAUGCUGGGUGUGUAAUAUUUCUCAGACAGAGAGAGAGAGAGAGAGAGAGAGAGAGUGAGCUGCUACUGUGAAUUUUAGUUCCUGGUGGGUGAAUCUUUUUCUUAGGCUUGCAAAACAUUUACAUGUCCACUGUUUACAUCCUCUUAACAUACGGUAAAUGCAGAUAUCAAUACAGAGCAUCUGUGUGUGUGUGUGUGUGUGUCUGUGUGUGUCUGUGUGUGUCUGUGUGUGGGAGCCCAUGUUGACUCACAGUUACAAUAAUGACUCUGGCAGAGCGGUGGAUGAACAGCUCACACUGACUGUAAAGAGCAAAGAGAGAGAGAGAGAGAGGAGAGAGGAGAGGGGGCUGAGCUCUCCCUGGCAUCUCCAUCUCAUAACUCCCCUGCCGCUCAGUGCAUCCGUACACUCACAAACACACACACUGCGGAGAGAGGACGACCUCCGAGGACUCGAGCACCUACAGCACAGGAUGACAGAGUGUGCACUUCAGCACAGACAUGGGACGGGAGGUGCUUUCAGUCAGAGUCUCCAGGGAGGAAAUAAUUCAUGAUGUGGCAGGUGACGGAUCAUUUGCAACAGAACGGACCAUCGUGCAGUGAGAGGAGCAAACACAGCCACAGCUGCCCUCUUCAAACAACACCAACUUUUGACCUACAUCUGCGCCCAAUUAAAGGCUCACCAGUCCAUAUUCACAAUACCAAGAAUCUUUUUUUCCCUGUCCAACGUGUCUUGGAUUGCCCGUUUCAAGCAUAAUGCACUGCCAAUAAAAACAGAAGACUUGUUGAGUAAACUGCACUCAGAAA